rnacentral:lncRNA from 1 species
CAGAUCCCCCAGCCCCUUCCUGCUGUGUCCCCUAAGCCUAUCCCAGCCCUUCCCGCUGCACCCACUUCCAUCAGCGUUACACAUGCGCUGCAUUUCUCACUGCCACCAGAUUCAGGCCUCAGCCUUGUGUCGAGCAGUUCCACCUGCAACUGAAGUGAGGAGAACUGAACGUGGUUCAGCCUUCACACACUGCUCUAAAGUACCUCGUCUUCUGUAAGGGAAACAGGACUUUGCCAGUCCUGCCCUGCGAUAUGAGGCCUUUGAAUAGACAACUGGUUUUGCUAUUCAUUUCAGCGCAAGUGAGCUCCAGCCCUCGGCUGCCUUUGGGGCCUCCAAUAGGCCCCAACAGAAGCGUUUCAAAGGGGUCACUGUGAAACCACACUGCUCUUGCAGUACAUUUUUUAUCCCUUUGUCUUGGGCGAGUUGUUUUUUCAUCAACAGCCCCCAACACUUUUUAAUUUCUUUUACUUUCUUUUACGGGUACAAUCCAGAUCUCCCAGCCCCUUCCCGCCGCGUCCCCUCAGCCUAUCCCAACCCCUCCCGCCGUGUCCCAUCAGCCCAGCCCAGCCCUCCCUGCCGCAUCCGCUUCCUCCCGUUAGCAUUGUACAUGGUUUACAUGUCUCACUGCCAUCAGAUUCAGCCCUCAACUUUGUGUCGAGCAGUUCCACCUCCAAGUGAAGCGAGUGAGGAGCAGAGCUGAACAUGGUUCAGCCUUCACACACUGCUCUAAGGUACCUCGUCUUCUCUAAGGGAAACAGGACUUUGCCAGGCCUGCCCUGUGAUAUGAGGCCUUUGAAUGGACAACUGGUUUUGUUACCGAUUUCAGCGCAAGUGAGCUCCAGCCCUUGGCUGCCUUUGGGGCCUCCAAUAGACCCCGGCAGAGGUGUUUCAUAAGGAUUCACUGUGGGACUGCGCUGCUCUUGAGGUACAUUUCUUAUAUCCCUUUGUCUUGGGGAUCGUGGUCUUUUCAACAGCUCUGAACGCUCCUAUUUUUAACUCAUUUCACUUGGUUUUGCGGGUACAGCUGGAUCCCCGCAGGCCCUUCCCACCCUGUCCCCUCAGCCCGGCCCAUGGAUCAGCCCAGUUGAGCCUUUGGAUCUCAGCCCCUGCAGCACUGCCCGUCGCAGCCUUCACCCCUUGGCUGCCUCUAGGACCUCCAAUAGGCCCCGACAGAAGCGUUUCAAAGGGGUCACUGCGAAACCACACUGCUCUUGCGGUACAUUUUUUACCCCUGCGUCUUCGCGUGAGUUGUUUUUUCAUCAACAGCCCUCAACACUUUUUAAUUUCUUUCAUUUUCUUUUGCGGGUACAAUCCAGAUCCCC